UUUAUUUCCUUGAGUUUUAUAAUUGUAUCUUACAUAAAAUAUUAUAAAUUCUUCUUCUAAUAUAAAAUAUCACAUCCGUCUCUUCUAGAAAGUAGUUGUACCUCAAUAAUUUUUUUCACCUUCUCUUACUAUUACGACCCAUGAAGGAGAAAGAUUACCCCUCAAAAUACAUUUUUUUCUCACUUCUUUACCUUUUCCCUGUUUUUGGGCUCUUUUUUAUUCUGUUGGAUUUUAAGCCCCCAUGUAUGAAUGCCCUAUGCUGUCAUCUUUUCUUUUUUCUAUUUUUUAUUUUUUUUUGUUGAUAGUGGUUUCUUUAAUAUAUAUUCCUCUAUUGAUGGUAAAUUUUUAUAGGGUAUGGGUGUGGUAAGUAAGUGGGAGUAUGAGUGGAGUUUGUUUGGUUGUGAUGCUAGCGUGAGAGACAUAGGAGGUGCUCCCACUUUUUACAAAAAAAAACUCUAUAAAUAAUGGUUUGACCUGGUAAGUUUAGUAAAUGGUGUCUAAAGUUGGUUUGACCUAGUACAUUUAGUAGUGUCAGACAUUUAUCAUGUAAUGGAUGAUUGUUAAUAGAUAGUGGAUUUUUUGUGAGGAAUUUAUUUAAUGGGUAGUGGAGAAAAUGAUUGUUUAAUGGUAAUGUGUAGUGGAGGAAAUGAUUAUUUAAUAGUAAGUUUAGUAAAUCAUGGUAGCUUUAGUAGUAUCCAAUAAUGAUUGCUAUAAAACAACCAAUUGGAUUUCAACACUGAAAGAAAUUAGCAAUGGAAUUAACAGGGUACUACUAAAGCUACCAAGAUUUACUAAACCUACCAUUAAACUAUCAUUUCAUCCACUACCCAUUACCAUUAAACAAUCAUUUUCUCCACUAACUAUUAAAUAAAUUCCCCACAAAAAAUCCACUAUCUAUUAACAAUCAUCCAUUACAUGAUAAAUGUCAAGUACUACUAAAUGUAUCAUGUCAAACCAGCUUUUGGCACCAUUUACUAAACUUACCAGGUCAAACAAUUAUUUAUAGAGUUGCUUUUUGCAAAAAGUUGGCGCACCACCCAUGUCUCCCACGCUAGCACCACAACCAAGCAAACUCCACUCAUACUCCCACUUACUCACCACUCCCUGUUCCACUCACCACACCCAUACCCUGCAAAAAUUCACCAUCAAUAGAGGAGCAUAUAUUGAAGGAACCACUAUCAACAAAAAAAAAGACGAGAGCAUAUAUGAACCAAGGGAGGGUCGAUGAACAACUCAAAUGGUGCUGAAUUUUCUACAUCGACGUCGCCUUUUUUCUCUAAUCAGGUGUUUUACUCUCACGAAGAUUUAAAAAAUUGGGCGUAAAGCAAGGGACGCUCUCUUGGUUACGUCAUAAUAACUCAAAGAUCAUACACGAAUACAAGUGGUUUUUUGUAUGAAGUCACGCUUAUGUGUGAUCUUGGUUGUGAAUAUAAACCGAAGGAAAAAAGUUCUUAUGUCUCUUUUACACUCCAAUGGUUAUGUUCAUGACUUUUCUACAAAUAAUGUUAUGAACGAGCUGGAAGCUUUAUUUUUUGUUCAUCUGACAUCUUUUAAGAUAUGGCGUGCAUUCCCACAUGUGUUGAUGAUAGAUGCUACGUACAAGACGAACAAGUAUAAUAUGCCUUUUGUUGAGAUUGUUGGCGUAACUUUUACAAGAAUGUCAUUUUGCAUAGCUUUUGCCUUUAUAAGUGAAGAAAAGAUGGACAAUAUAAGUGGGUGUUAGAGUGUUUAAAGUUGACACUAGAUGAGUGCAUGCUACCACGUGUUAUAAUUACCAACAGAGAGUUGGCUCUCAUGAAAGCAUGCAAAAAAGUUUUUCCGAAUGCUACUCGAUUACUUUGUAGAUGGCACAUUAGCCAAAAUAUUUUGAAGAAUUGCAGGCCAACAAUCAAGACGUAACGUGAUUGGGACUCUUUUCCUUUCGAUGUGGAAGUUACUAGAAGAUUCUCCGAUGUAGAUAUCGUACAUGGAGAACUACAAGCAACUUCAAUUAGUAUUGAGGAAA